GUUCCCAGAUGAAAGCAGACACUUGUUAGGCAGCUGCAUAAACAGAAAAAACCAAUGUUGAGAAGAAAAAAGAAACAACCUGCGGAUGUGAUUUUUAGGUGACCUUGGACACUCCAACAGACCCAUUCUGCUGGGUUAUUAAUAUGAGUUAGCAAGGUUCUAGCCAAUGUGGAAAUGCUAGCAUUGGUAAUGAGGGUGAACACUGGCAAGGAAAGGCAGAGAGGCAGGAUGAUGUGAUUGCUGGGUGAGCUGGACAUGCAUAAGGUUUUUUUUUUAAUGAGACUCCUUGCCUCAGUUUCUCCACUUGUAAAAUGAUGUUCACUGGGGGCAUUUUGAGUCUUAACUGAGGGCAAAGGUCCAGAUCCUCAAAGUUAUUUAGGCUCCUAACUUCCAGUUGAGGAGCUGAGCCAAAGUGCUUCGGGCUCCAUGAAUGGAAGGUGCUAACUAUGAACAAAGUGUUAUAAAUGUUGGCAAUUGAGAAUAGAUGGUUCAAUAUGAUCUUGCAUGUACCCUCCCCCUUUCUUCCCCUUGGUGUGUAGUGAAAUGUGUUAUGAGCUGCCUGUCUUUUGAAGGCUGAAGCUAGAUCUUUUUUCCCUACCUUGCACAGAGCUGGAAGAGUGGUUUCUAAAGAUUUCAGCAGGCCGUAGGAUGGGGAGGUACCCCCUUCUUCCUACAGUUGGAGUUCUAUAGUGAUGAUGACUUCUUCGCUGCUGCCCACAAGGAUCUCAGCCAGUUCUGAGGCCAGAGAGAAUCAUAUUUUGCUAGGGAGCUGUGCUGCUGAACACUGAUGUGUCUUGGGCCAGAUACUGCCACCCUUACUCAUGCUAAGUAAUACCUGACUCUGUAAGUACAACAGCUAAUGAUAAUAUACUACACUAGGCCAGGUUUUGCCAUCAGUGUA
rnacentral:lncRNA from 1 species